rnacentral:rRNA from 1 species
GUAACNCAGCUAACGCGUGAGUAGNCCGCCUGGGGAGUACGUUGCAAGAUUAAAACUCAAAGGAUUGACGGGACCCGCACAAGCGGUGGAUGAUGUGGAUUAAUUCGAUGCAACGCGAAAACCUUACCUACCCUUGACAUGUACGGAACCCUGCUGAGAGGUGGGGGUGCUCGAAAGAGAGCCGUAACACAGGUGCUGCAUGGCUGUCGUCAGCUCGUGUCGUGAGAUGUUGGGUUAAGUCCCGCAACGAGCGCAACCCUUGUCAUUAGUUGCUACGAAAGGGCACUCUAAUGAGACUGCCGGUGACAAACCGGAGGAAGGUGGGGAUGACGUCAAGUCCUCAUGGCCCUUAUGGGUAGGGCUUCACACGUCAUACAAUGGUACAUACAGAGGGCCGCCAACCCGCGAGGGGGAGCUAAUCCCAGAAAGUGUAUCGUAGUCCGGAUUGUAGUCUGCAACUCGACUACAUGAAGUUGGAAUCGCUAGUAAUCGCGGAUCAGCAUGUCGCGGUGAAUACGUUCCCGGGUCUUGUACACACCGCCCGUCACACCAUGGGAGCGGGUUUUACCAGAAGUAGGUAGCUUAACCGCAAGGAGGGCGCUUACCACGGUAGGAUUCGUGACUGGGGUGAAGUCGUAACAAGGUAGCCGUA